rnacentral:SRP_RNA from 1 species
UCGUGCUAGGCGGGGCGCUAGGGGUGCCCUAUUACCCGAAACCCUCUCAAUGCGGGGCUGAAUUCCCCGCCCGAGGAGCAACGGCUCAUCGAUCGCUGUUGGUAACGCGGUGAUGACGGUUGGGUCCUACGCGACGGGAAAUCGCGAAUCGAGUCAGGUCCGGAAGGAAGCAGCUCUAAGCGAACCUUCCCGGGCGCCGUAGGAGUGCCUGACCCGAGCAGGCAACCAACAACGCGGUGAGAUUCGAAUCUCCAACGGCGGGGUGCACGG